GCUGCUGCUUCUGCACCUCCUCACAUCCCCAGAUAUCCCCCACAUGCCCACACCAUGGCAAUUGUCCCUCUGCAUCGCUCGUUUUCCUGUCAUACCCCACACAUUUUUCAUUACACACUCUGUCCCUUGCAGCAAACGAAAUUUUUGGAUGCGCCUCGCGCGUCUUGCCACGGCGGCUUGUACUUUGCCACACUCACACAAUCAGCCACUCACACACACACACACACACCGGCACACUCGACCACACACACACCAAUGCGACACCAAUACAGAUGGCCAUAGUGAAACACACACAUGUGGCCAAACAAUAUAAAUCACCAGCACUCACACACAGAAACGUGGUGGAGUUUUGAGGGGCGACCGACCGACCAGGAAGUAGGAUGAAAUAUCG
ensembl:ncRNA lncRNA:CR45708 long non-coding RNA:CR45708